GACGAACGCUGGCGGCGUGCUUAACACAUGCAAGUCGAACGCUGAAGACCUGGCUUUUGUUGGGUUGGAUGAGUGGCGAACGGGUGAGUAACACGUGAGUAACCUGCCCUCUUCUUUGGGAUAACGCCCGGAAACGGGUGCUAAUACUGGAUAUUCACUGGCCUUCGCAUGGGGGUUGGUGGAAAGGUUUGUUCUGGUGGGGGAUGGGCUCGCGGCCUAUCAGCUUGUUGGUGGGGUGAUGGCCUACCAAGGCUUUGACGGGUAGCCGGCCUGAGAGGGUGACCGGUCACAUUGGGACUGAGAUACGGCCCAGACUCCUACGGGAGGCAGCAGUGGGGAAUAUUGCACAAUGGGCGAAAGCCUGAUGCAGCGACGCCGCGUGAGGGAUGGAGGCCUUCGGGUUGUAAACCUCUUUCGCUCAUGGUCAAGCCGCAACUGUGGGUUGUGGUGAGGGUAGUGGGUAAAGAAGCGCCGGCUAACUACGUGCCAGCAGCCGCGGUAAUACGUAGGGCGCGAGCGUUGUCCGGAAUUAUUGGGCGUAAAGGGCUUGUAGGCGGUUGGUCGCGUCUGCCGUGAAAUUCUCUGGCUUAACUGGGGGCGUGCGGUGGGUACGGGCUGACUUGAGUGCGGUAGGGGAGACUGGAACUCCUGGUGUAGCGGUGGAAUGCGCAGAUAUCAGGAAGAACACCGGUGGCGAAGGCGGGUCUCUGGGCCGUUACUGACGCUGAGGAGCGGAAGCGUGGGGAGCGAACAGG
rnacentral:rRNA from 1 species